rnacentral:lncRNA from 1 species
CAGCCCCCUCCCCGCACUCCCCAUCCGCUCCCCGCACUCCCCAGCCCUCCGCCCCGCACUCCCCAGCCCGCUCCCCGCACUCCCCAUCCUGAGCCCAAGCCCAGCCUCCAACCACAAACCCAGGUGCUGCUGGAAUAACAAAGAACAACUUGUUUGCAUCUGCACUGGAGUCCAGGGAGAAGAUAAAGAGCACUCAGUGGGUGAAGACACUGAACCCGAAAUGGACAUUGACAACAAAAAACAAAUUGGUCAUUCAGACAGCACAGCCCUGGGAAUCUGUUUGUCUAAAGACAAACCUCACUGGCCCACCAAGGUCCUCUCCUGGGCCAGGGAGCCAUGGGGAAGGGAACUAGAUCACAUUUUUAAUAACGUCAUUGAAGUGUUCAAGCUUUUCAGUCACUGGGCUUUACAAUCACUGCUCCAUUUAACCUCAUAUUAAUAGCUUCCAGCCAAAGGCCACAAAAAAAC